CAGUGGUGAACCCAGGCAGAGAACACACAGACUCACGGCUGGAUCAGCCCGAAAUUAAUUUUAUUUUUCUACAUAUUAGGUAUGCCAAAAGAACGAAGGGGGAGUGAGUGACUGAAACUAAAGACUAAAUCAACGUGAAACUAAAGCCAGGAAAAACUCUAACUAAGGAACUCACUACGGACUGGAAGGGGGGCAGACAGGCUACCGGAGACCGGCGGUCCAGAUUUGUUCUCCGCUGGGGUGGACGAGCGGCAGAGAGUGGUUGUGGCAGUCCUGGAGAUCCAGAGGCUGGGGCAGCGGGGACAGGCUGAGGCAGGCAGGGACGAGACGCCUCCUCCUCCAGAGGUCCCUCUCUAUCUCCCCACACAUGCACCAACCACUGGAACACAUCUCCAAAGUUCUGCUGGGCCAGCUCAGCUUCCCCUCAGAAGAAGUGCUGCCACCUGCCAGAUGAAGGAGCCUUUUGAGAGGCAGCUGGCAUCGUGAUUGGACUGUACUUUGGUCUGUUCCAAUCCAGCUUCAGCUCCAGAGACGGCAGGCGGGACGAGUCAACGGAGGCCGGGUGGACGAAGGCAUGCAGCUGAGUACAAUCCAGAAAACAACGGAGGAGGAGUGCAGUGGCCCAGAGCCAGAACAAGCAGAGUAUCAUCGUAUGUCUCUUAGAAAACAUCAUAGUAUAGCCUUUGGGAUGAAAAAACGCCAUCAUAUACAUCGUAUAUUAUGCAAAUAAGUCAAAGGAAAGAGACAUACAUUGUAGAAUUGUAGUAAUUGUGGGCUGAUUGAUUUACUGCUUAUCAGUAUUUUAUUUUUUACUGAUUUAUGGUAAUAAAUACUUUUAAAAAUGGU